CCUACGGGUGGCAGCAGUGAGGAAUAUUGGUCAAUGGGCUUACGCCUGAACCAGCCAAGUCGCGUGAGGGAAGACUGCCCUAUGGGUUGUAAACCUCUUUUGUCAGGGAGCAAUUGGCGCUACGUGUAUCGUUAUCGAGUGUACCUGAAGAACAAGCAUCGGCUAACUCCGUGCCAGCAGCCGCGGUAAUACGGAGGAUGCGAGCGUGAUCCGGAUUUAUUGGGUUUAAAGGGUGCGUAGGCGGAAUGUCAGGUCAGCGGUAAAGUCGCGGGGCUAAAACUCGCUGCGCCGUUGAAACUGGCGUUCUUGAGUGGGCGAGAGGUAUGCGGAAGGCGAGGUGUAGCGGUGAAAUGCAUAGAUA
rnacentral:rRNA from 1 species